GCUUCCGUGGUCCAAUGGUUAGGAUUCCACCCUUCCAAUCACCCAGCCGUGAAAUGUUAGGUGGAGGUUCGUGUUCGAUUCACGGCGGUUGCA